rnacentral:lncRNA from 1 species
AAGGAACUGAGACCCAAAGGAGUUGAAGAACUUCCUCAAGACAACGCAGUUAGAAAGUAUCAGAAACAGGAUUCAAGAUAAAGUUCUCCGAUGCCAGACACAGUUGCUAUGUUCUUUGGACUUUGGACUGUUACAUUCUCUCCUUGGAAAUGGAGCAGACUAUUCAGGCACUUAUUUUAAUAAUCAGAAGAUGAGAAGCACUCAUGAGUACUUUUAUGGUUACAAGAGUACCGUGCAUUACAAUGCCAGAACCCAAGGAAUCCGCAAGAGACCUUCAAAACCAUACCAGAAUUCCUCAGUAUGCCAUAUAAACAUAUGGAGCAGUCGAGGAGAAAAACAAGUUAGAAAUUCUACUUUUAAUUUAAAGGGAAAGCUACUUGUACUUGGGAGGGAAAAGAAAAGUGAGAAAACCACAUGGAAGACUCACAGGAUUUAAAUGAACAAUCAGUAAAGAAAACGUGCUCAGAAACAGAUGUUUCAGAACCUCAGAAUUCCAGGUCUAUGGAAAUGCAGGACCUAGCAAGUCCUCAUACACUUGUUGGAAGUAGUGAUACUCCUGGUAGCUCCAAACUGGAUAAAUCUAAUCUCAGCAACACAUCAGUUACAACAAAUGGGACAGGAGUAAUAACGAGUAGUGGCUACAGUCCCAGAUCAGCACAUCAGUACUCUCCACAAUUGUAUCCCUCCAAGCCCUAUCCACACAUUCUUUCUACACCAGCAGCUCAAACAAUGUCUGCCUAUGCUGGACAGACUCAAUAUUCAGGAAUGCAGCAGCCAGCAGUGUACACAGCCUACUCACAGACAGGACAACCUUACAGCUUACCCACUUACGAUUUAGGUGUGAUGUUGCCAGGCAUCAAGACAGAAAGUGGACUUUCACAAACCCAGUCACCACUACAGACGGGGUGCCUCAGUUACAGUCCAGGGUUUUCUACCCCCCAGCCAGGCCAAACACCUUAUUCUUACCAAAUGCCAGGUUCUAGUUUUGCACCAUCAUCCACUAUUUAUGCAAAUAAUUCUGUUUCUAAUUCAACGAAUUUCAGUAGCUCACAGCAGGAUUAUCCAUCAUAUACAGCCUUUGGCCAAAACCAAUAUGCACAGUAUUAUUCAGCAUCAACGUAUGGAGCAUAUAUGACUUCAAAUAACACAGCUGAUGGCACAUCUUCAUCUUCAUCAACAUAUCAGCUGCAGGAAUCUCUCCCUGGACUGACUAGUCAACCAGGAGAUUUUGAUACAGUGCAGAGCCCUUCCACACCCAUCAAAGACCUUGAUGAGAGAACAUGUAGGAGUUCUGGGUCAAAGUCCCGAGGAAGAGGCCGGAAGAAUAAUCCAUCACCUCCACCAGACAGUGACUUGGAGCGUGUAUUUGUCUGGGAUUUGGAUGAAACCAUCAUCGUUUUUCACUCACUGCUUACAGGGUCCUAUGCACAGAAGUAUGGCAAGGAAUGUGAUCAAGUUCAUAUAGAUGAUGUUUCUUCUGAUGAUAAUGGUCAAGACUUAAGUACCUACAGCUUUGCAACUGAUGGCUUCCAUGCAGCUGCAAGUAGUGCAAACCUUUGUUUGCCAACAGGUGUAAGAGGAGGGGUUGACUGGAUGAGGAAGCUGGCUUUUCGUUACAGAAGAGUAAAAGAAUUAUAUAAUACCUACAAGAACAAUGUAGGAGGACUCCUUGGCCCAGCUAAGAGAGAUGCAUGGCUGCAAUUAAGAGCAGAGAUUGAAGGUCUAACAGACUCCUGGCUGACAAAUGCACUUAAAUCCUUAUCAAUUAUUAGUACUAGGAGUAACUGUGUAAAUGUCUUGGUAACAACAACUCAGCUUAUCCCAGCACUUGCAAAAGUCCUACUCUAUAGUUUGGGAGGUGCUUUUCCUAUUGAAAAUAUUUACAGUGCAACUAAAAUAGGCAAAGAAAGCUGUUUUGAGCGUAUAGUGUCCAGAUUUGGCACUAACAUAACUUAUGUUGUGAUUGGAGAUGGCCGAGAUGAGGAGCAUGCCGCUAACCAGCACAACAUGCCUUUUUGGAGGAUAUCAAGUCAUUCAGACCUCUUGGCUCUACAUCAAGCAUUGGAACUAGAAUAUUUGUAA